UACGGAGGGUGCAAGCGUUAUCCGGAUUCACUGGGUUUAAAGGGUGCGUAGGUGGGUUGAUAAGUCAGUGGUGAAAUCCCCGAGCUUAACUUGGGAACUGCCAUUGAUACUAUUGAUCUUGAAUACCGUGGAGGUCAGCGGAAUAUGCCAUGUAGCGGUGAAAUGCUUAGAUAUGACAUAGAACACCAAUUGCGAAGGCAGCUGGCUACGCGAAUAUUGACACUGAUGCACGAAAGCGUGGGGAUCAAACAGG
rnacentral:rRNA from 1 species